rnacentral:rRNA from 1 species
UACGUAGGGUGCGAGCGUUAAUCGGAAUUGCUGGGCGUAAAGCGUGCGCAGGCGGUUUUGUAAGCCAGAUGUGAAAUCCCCGGGCUUAACCUGGGAAUGGCAUUUGGGACUGCAAGGCUUGAGUGCGGCAGAGGAGACUGGAAUUCCUGGUGUAGCAGUGAAAUGCGUAGAUAUCAGGAGGAAUACCGAUGGCGAAGGCAGGUCUCUGGGCUGACACUGACGCUCAUGCACGAAAGCGUGGGAGCAAACAGG